AAGCGUGCGCAGGCGGUUAUAUAAGACAGAUGUGAAAUCCCCGGGCUCAACCUGGGAACUGCAUUUGUGACUGUAUAGCUGGAGUGCGGCAGAGGGGGAUGGAAUUCCGCGUGUAGCAGUGAAAUGCGUAGAUAUGCGGAGGAACACCGAUGGCGAAGGCAAUCCCCUGGGCCUGCACUGACGCUCAUGCACGAAAGCGUGGGGAGCAAACAGGAUUAGAUACCCCUUGU
rnacentral:rRNA from 1 species